rnacentral:misc_RNA from 1 species
UCCGAGUUAACCCCGGCAGUCCCCUACGAGUCCCCGCCAUAACGCGCUGGCAACACAGGGCAAGGGUUGCGCUCGUUGCGGGACUUAACCCAACAUCUCACGACACGAGCUGACGACAACCAUGCACCACCUGUCACAAGCCCAAAAAGGACCCCGUAUCUCUACGAGUUUUCAAGUGAUGUCAAGUCCAGGUAAGGUUCUUCGCGUUGCAUCGAAUUAAGCCGCAUGCUCCGCCGCUUGUGCGGGCCCCCGUCAAUUCCUUUGAGUUUUAACCUUGCGGCCGUACUCCCCAGGCGGGGCGCUUAAAGCGUUAGCUACGGCACAGAAACCACAACAGUCCCCACACCUAGCGCCCACCGUUUACAGCGUGGACUAC